UUCCAGACUCCUACGGGAGGCAGCAGUAGGGAAUCUUUCACAAUGGGCGAAAGCCUGAUGGAGCAACGCCGCGUGCAGGAUGAAGGCCUUCGGGUUGUAAACUUCUUUUGACAGGGAAGAGCAGAAGACGGUACCUGUCGAAUAAGCCACGGCUAACUACGUGCCAGCAGCCGCGGUAAUACGUAGGUGGCAAGCGUUGUCCGGAUUUACUGGGUGUAAAGGGCGUGUAGCCGGGCUUACAAGUCAGAUGUGAAAUCCGGGGGCUCAACCCCCGAACUGCAUUUGAAACUGUAGGUCUUGAGUAUCGGAGAGGCAGGCGGAAUUCCUAGUGUAGCGGUGAAAUGCGUAGAUAUUAGGAGGAACACCAGUGGCGAAGGCGGCCUGCUGGACGACAACUGACGGUGAGGCGCGAAAGCGUGGGGAGCAAACAGGAUUAGAUACCCUAGUAU
rnacentral:rRNA from 1 species